CUAGAGUUGAAGGACAGCAUAGCUACAUAGCAAGAAGAUCCUGACUGAAGAAAAAUGAAACUGAACCACCACAGUAACUGUAACUACGGGAUAAAUCAGUAAUCCGAAUGGGUCCCCUCUGAGACCUCCCUGGGAUCUCCAGUCUCAGGUUCCUGGGCCAGCCUUUGAAGAACUCCACUUUAAAGAGCCAAGGCAGUGGUGGCGCACGCCUUUAAUCCCAGCGCUCAGGAGGCAGAGAAAUGCGGAUCUCUGUGAGUUUGAGGCCAGCUUGGUCUACAGAGCGAGUUCCAGAACAGGCUCCAAAGCUACACAGAGAAACCCGGGCUCGAAAAACAAACCAACAAAAGCCUCAGGAAGUCCCCGAGGCUGACUAUCAGAUGCUCGAGACCCUUCUUCCUGGGAGACAGAGACCAGCCAGCUACCUGGAGAGGUUCUGACUAACUGGGCUUCCUAGACCCCCUCCCCUGCCAAGCUGCCUGCAGGCUGUGCGCAGGUUUUCAGCUCCCUGAGGGCAGGGAACCCAAAUAAAAGCACUGGUUCAACAAC